GAUGCGUGUCCUUAAUAGAAAAUGCAGUGUUUAGCUAACACAAGACGCAUGAGGUUGAAAAGCGGAUGCAAUUUCCGGCACGUAUC
rnacentral:sRNA from 12 species